AUAUUAAUAAGCGGAGGAAAAGAAACUAACAAGGAUUCCCCUAGUAACGGCGAGUGAAGCGGGAUGAGCUCAAGCUUAAAAUCUCUGUGCCAGUUUGGCAUGGCGAAUUGUAGUCUAUGGAGGCGCUGUCAGUGCGAUUGUUCGGGGUAAGUUCCUUGGAAGAGGACAGCAUCGAGGGUGAUACUCCCGUAUGUACCUGUUCAGUCGCGCGUACGACACGUUUUCUUCGAGUCGCGUUGUUUGGGAAUGCAGCGCAAAGUAGGUGGUAAAUUCCAUCUAAAGCUAAAUAUUGGUGCGAGACCGAUAGCGCACAAGUA
rnacentral:rRNA from 1 species